AGCAGGUGGUCUCGUCUGAUUAUGUGAUCCGACACUCCCGAAACCCAGCCCAGGCCGCCGCCGCCGCCAUGGCCUCCGACGACGGCGACAAGGACAUCCUCCUCCUCGUCCACCAGGUCCCACUCGACAUGGAGGAUGUGCCAGCGCCCCGCCUGGCGCACCUCCUCGCCCCGCUCCACCGCGCGCCUCCACCGCCCCCGCCUCCCCCCUUCCGCUCGCCGCCCCCGCCCCAGGCCGCCGCUUCCGCCGAGCACCGCCUCUCAUUCCGCGGCUGGCUCGGCAUCCCCCGCCACUGGGACGACUGGGUCGCCAAGCUCCGGCCCCUCCACGCCCGCCUCUGGCGCCGCCUCGGCAUCCACGACGCCGUCCUUGCCUCCACCCUCCGCUUCAAGCGCGACGCCUCCGCCAUCCUCCAUCUCGCCUCCUUCUGGUCCCCUGCCACCGCCACCUUCGCCUUCCCCUGGGGGGAGGCCACUGUCACCCUCCAGGACGUCGCCCUCCUCGCCGGCUUCCCCGCCCUCGGCGCCCCGGCCACGGCCCCGCUCCCGCCCCAGUGGCGCCCCGACGAGGCCGCCCUCAAUGGCGUGCGCCUCGGCUUCAACCGCAGCGCCUGCAAGAAGGCGCACCACUCCGCCUGGGUAAAACACUUCCUCACCGACGAUAACGCGGACACAGUCUUCGAGCACGCCGCCUUCCUCGCGCUCUGGCUCACGCGCUUCGUCCUCCCGGGUCAUCCGGAGUCCACCAUGCGCCAGGCCGUCUUCCCCAUCGCCGUCCGCCUCGCGCGCGGGGACCGCGUUGCCCUCGCGCCCGCCGUCCUUGCCUCGAUCUACCGGGACCUCCGCGAGAUCAAGGCCUUCCUCAUCGCCACGGGCGCCGCCGCCACCACCGGCAACGCCGAUAUGAUCUCCUCCUUAUCCGUCUACUCGCCACUCUACAUUCUUCAGCUCUGGAUGUGGGAGCGCUUCCCUGCCCUCAGGCCAGCAAAGGUGAACCCACUCGUUGAUGGCGAUCCGCUUGCCGCUCGGUGGCAUGAUCUGAGCAGGAAGCUGAACCCGGCGCAGAUACGUGAGGCCCUCAGCACAGGAUGCAACUUUGUGUGGCAGCCUUAUGUCAGCUCCAUGGAGCACACUGGGUGGGUUCACAGCAGUGAUCUAGCCGAGGAUGAUGAACUGGCAUCGCUCGCACAAUUUUUGCACCCCUGUGAGCUCGUAGGGAUGGAUUGCAUUGAGCAGUACCUCCCGCACCGUGUUGCCAGACAGUUUGGACUGGACCAAGAUGUGCCUGCAGAUGUUCACCGUGCCAACCAGGAUUGGGCGAUUGCUUGGCAGACCUACCAGCUGGAAGGUAAGAAUGUGGCUUUCUUCAUCCCUCACUCUGAGCCUGGGAUCACAACACGGUAUGCACAGUGGUGGAGGCAGCAACUUCUGCCUUCUGGCAUUGAUGCUGCUACAGCAAGUGCUCCAGUAGAGUGGAAGACUUCCAAGCGCAAGGUGAAAAAGACACCAGCGGCCAUGGAAGCUGAAGCUGAGAAGGAGCGUAAGAUGAAGAAGGCCCGGGUCUCUCCUACUUAUACUGAUAAAAAGCGCAAACUUGAAGAGUUGUAUGAUGCUAAGUUGUCGGAUUGGCUUCCAACUGCAAGGAAUGAGAUUAGUGACACCACUAGUGAUAUGGAAUCGGAGGAGGCCUUAUUGCCUAAUGUUGGAACUACAAAUGAUGAUAUUGUGCUACUCAUGCCAAGGAAGCAGACAACGACUGCACCUGUAAGGGCAUUGAUGGAUAAUGACAUGAUCCUGGCUCUAGGAGAGAGAGGAAACUUUAUGGUUGAUGAGCCUCCAGACAUCCAAAGUGAACCUGAAGCUGUUGUCCCUGCAACGCUGGAUGAGGAAAUAGUUAAAAUUCCUGAGGUUAUUUCUCUUGAUAUUCCAGAUAAGCCAGAAGAAGGAGCCACUGCAGUAAUGGAGGAGCAGAAGGAAGCUACUAGUGUAUCUGAUAGAUCUGAAGAAGCUAGUGCUCUGGUCAUAGGAGAGGUAGAAGAAAAGGUUGCCAUAGAGGGAGCUAUUUGUGUUACAGGGAUGAAUCCAUCGGGAAACAACUCAGCAACUGUAAUGGAGGCAGAUGAAAGAAAUGCAGUUCCAAAAGAAUUUGGAAGGGCUGCCAAGGAAGUAAUUGAAGCUGUGCCCCAGAGCCAACAUGAAGUUAAUGCAGGUGUUAUAAACAAUUCUCAUGAUGUGGUGGCUUUACCUGAGGAGGCCCAUCCAGUUCAGCCCACAAAUAAUUCUGGUGGAUGUCCCGUGGUAUCUUGCAUAAUGGAAGACAGUAAAGUUGCUGGAGAUUCGGGCAAAAUUGAUUAUGAAUAUUUUUGUGAUUUUGUUGAGGAACAGAGGGAGAUUCCUUGUGUACAAGAGAUUUCUGGAGAAAACAGUCGAAUGGGUGAGAAAGAGAGAGAAGAAACCUCCCAUGAAUCUCCUCAACUAGAGAUUGUAGAAUGUGUGCAAGACAUCGUUCUUAGGGAAACAGACUAUGAUGUUAAUCAAAAGAUAGUUUAUCCAGCAGUGGAGGAUGUAGCAACUUCCGAUAGUAUGAGUACAUCUCUUCUGGGUGUUCCUGAACCAGAAAAUGCAGAACUCAAUAAACAUCCUUAUCUAGCAAUUAAAGAUGAGGAAGAUAUACCCAUGGAAGCUGCACGAGGAGAAGUAGCAGAAAUGGAACAAAUUAGUACUUCUGCAAAGGGAGGUGCCGAGGAGCAUGGGGACUUUUCUGAACUUGAUCACAUGGGCCGAGCAGAUGCUAAAUUGCAUUUACACUUAAAUUCUGAAGUGCCUGAGAAAAUUGAUGAAAUAGAGUGUAAAGAAGUCGCUGGCACUAUGAGACUAACUGGGAGAUAUUCUGAUCAGAAGCUUGGAGAUGUGCCUGAAGUUGGGUACACAGAAGAUGAAAACAUUAGGGGGCUGGUAGUGAACACAAGUGAUAGGAAACCUUCAGAAGUCUCUCAAGUCGAGCCUGCAAAACUGGAACAUUCUAAGGAUCUGGUGAAAGAGGAAACAGACAAAUCCGAAAAUAUUCCUGGAUUAGAAUGUAUAGGAUUGGAGGAAACUCGUGGAGAUUUGAUGGAAGAGUGUGCAAAUACCAAGUCUGAUAAUGUUCCCGAAUUAGAAAAUACAGGAUUAGGAGGAACUCAUGGGCCAAUAGAGGAUACUGAUGGUAGACUGAAGGAAAUUCAUGAUGUCAAUGCAGAACUGGAUAAACACAAUGUGCAUGAGAGCGAUAUUGAUAGAUCCGAGGACAUCAUGCAAAUCGAUCCACUAACACAGGAUAAAGCUACGUGGCUGGCGAAGGAAGAAACUGAAGAUAAAACUACAAAAGUUCAAGAAGUAAAGUAUGAACAAUUAAGAAAUGAGCCACCGAUUCAAGAGGAUUCCAAGGAAAAGCCCUGUGCUGAUAGCAAGGAUCUAUCAGAGAAUGUUGUAGUUCAGUCCAAAGAGGUAGAUAAAUUGAAACAAGCAGGAGAGGGUUGCCAGGCGUUAAUGGAGAAAGACAUGGAGAAUGCUAGUGGUGCUUUUGUACUAGAACAGACAGAAGAUGGACACAGAAAAUCAUUGAUAGAGACAAGUAUAAAUAACGAUAGUGAAAUUACUCUAGUCGAGCAGUUGGAUGGACAAAGUGAGAGUCUUACGAGGACAGGUACUGUGGAAAUUCAUGGAGAAACCAUUAAAGCACAAGACAAUGAGUUCUAUAAGGAUGUGGUAGAAGAUUCAAAUGACUCAACCAAUGAAAAGGAUGUGGUAGAAGAUUCAAACGAAUCAAUCAAUGCUAAGAUGCCAUGUAGUUCAGCUACUGUACAGUUAAAAGAAGAUAAGAUGGAAGUUUUUCAUGAAGGCAAGAUGGAGGAGCCAUGUGCUCAGGAUGCUGAACUGAGUAAUCAGAGGGAACCAUCAUCUGAUGCAACUGCUAUGGAGAUUGAGGCAGUGGCUCUGGAACAGGACAGCAGAAUCAUAUGCAAAAACAUGGAGGCAACAACAGUGGAAGGCAGCCACACACUGGAUAGUGGACUAAGUUCCGAUCUAGCCAAGGUUAAUGAAACUCAUGCUGCACGGGAAAUUAAAAACCAGGAAGUUUUGGAUGUGGACAUGAAAGUAGCAAUGAGUGUUUGUGGUGAAUAUCAAAUUAACUCAAUUGGUAUGGAGGAUGUCAAAUCUACCAAAGGAUCACAGAACCAAGAAUGUUUGGACCAGAAAGAAGACCAUAUAAUGGAGGAAAGAGUGGAGUGUGAAGUAAGAGAAGGAAGUGGAGUAUCCUAUGAAGAGGCAUGUGAGCUCGGUGGUGGUAGAGUGAAAGCCUCUGGAGUUGCAGUGGAUGUUAGUGGUCCAGUGCUAAACAAGGAGGCCUGCAACACAGAGGAGUUGCAGGCAAGGGAGGAUAAGAAGCGUCAUGGAGUUGGGCAUGUGAAUGAGAAGAGGGUUUUGGAAGAAACUAGUAUGAUUGAUACUGGUGAAUUGAAAUCUGAUUCGACUGUUAUGGAGAUUAGCAUGGCUGGGUUAAGACAAGGAACACUCAACCAAUGUGCUUCAAGUUCGGAGAAGGAAGAAGCAGUGCAGGAGAAGCAUGAUCAGGGAUUGGUAGAUGAAAACACAAACAGAGGUUCAGCUGACAAUGAUGCACUUGAAUGUGGUGGAGUGAAUCCUGAUGUGGCCAUAACAAUGUUUCAUGAAACUAUUCUUACAACAGAAGCUGUCAAUAUAGCUGGGUCUAAAAUUUCGUCUGAGAACCAGCAAAAGGAAGCACCCUUUGAAGUACACUCUAUAACAGAAGUCGAAGGUUCUGAAUCAAAUGAAUCAUCAAGAAAGGAGCCUGAAGGAGCUCUUGCUCUUCCACAAGAGCCUGGCAACCUGGUAAAAGUUAAACAAGAAAGUUUGGAGAAUGAAACCGAGAUGUCCAUUUUUAGGGAGAAUGACAAAGUUUCUGGAAAAGAUCAGGCAUCAGCAGAGUUUAUAAUUGAUCCUUCAAAUACGGAUGAACGGAGGGAGAAUGAUAUUGGGCGGCCCGAUGAAUCAGCAAAAGGCUGUGAAAGGUUAACUUCUGAUUCUAUAAACACAGUUCACUCCAAAUUUGGCAAGUCUAGUAAUGAAGAGGAUAAGAGAACACAGAACACCAGGUCUACGGAUCCAAAAGAUAUAAAGGAAUCAUUGGGUAGAAUUCGUGCCGAACCAUCAAACAGGGUACACACAACCAGUGUUGGGUAUUACUCUCAGCAUGCAGCUCAUGAUCCGAUUUCAUCUUGUAAGGAGAUCAAAGUGCCUUUGCGAGACGGUGCAAGGGAUUCUGGAAGGGACCGUGCACUGGAGUUAGUGGUUACAAGUCCACGAGAAGAGACUCCUCGAUGGAGGCAAGAACAGUACGCACUUCAGAUUUUAGAAGACGUUCAAAAUUCCCGAAUUGCUGAGAGAUCUAGGAUGGAGAUGGAGAUCAGAGUACUGAAGGCACAAGUCAGUAGCAUGGAGAGACAAGUGAUGAACCUGGAUCACUUCUCUGAGGUCAAGUCCAGAUCUAGUUUGAACCAACAAAUGGUACAUUUGCACAAACCAUACUUCUGAAACUGUAAUGGGUUUAAAUUUUUUGAAAUAAACACAAAUCCAUGCAAGUUCUCUGUCCCAUCAUCGACUACCUACCUCCUGGAAGUCGGAUUGUUUUACUCUUAGCAAUCCAGUAGGAAGACGGCAUUUUUGGUGAAUUUCUGAUGCAAAUUUCAGUACAGGUUAUUCCGAACCUCCUCCCAUUAUACUGAAUGAUUGGAUGCAUGACGGUGCUAGGGCAUGUCUGGGUUAUGCCUGAAUCCUGAUGACAUGACUAAACUGCCCAAGGUGUCACUAGCUCAAAUCGAUGGUAGUUCUGCUGUCUAUCUUUUAGAUUGACGAUAAGCUCGGAUAAUUUGGAACUUCUGUGCACCACAUAUAAGGUAGAAGGAUUUUGAAUCAUAUUUCUGACAAGAAAGCACUGACAUGUUACUAUUUUCAUAGGUAGAUCAGAUAGUUUAUUACUUAUGUUCAAUACAUAGAAAUCUGAUUUUUGCUGCUUACGGAUCUAGUUAAAUUUACAACAUUGUAUGGAUUUGUUGUCUAAAAGUUGGUCGAUGGAAGCCCCUCCCCCCUGAAAUAUAAAGAUUUCACUGUUGUUAUUCUAAACACUACGGCCUUCUUUGGAAUGCAGGAAUCAGUUCAUUUCACAGGGAAAUCGGAAAAAAAUAUCAGCAUUCCAAAGGGGUCUAGGUCUUGGAUGGUCAGCCAUUUUUAUUAUGUACAAAUGCAGUAGAAGAUGAGGAACUUCAUAGUAUGUUUAUGAACUCGCAACUACUUAGACCGCAUAUUAGUGUGAAGCGAGUCUCAUUUUGUUUCUAGAAGUGAAGUUGAAUUCCAUUAGUUGUCAGCAUUCACCUGUUCUAUAGGAGCUGCCGUCCAGACUCCAGGACUUGUGAAAGAAUAUAAGGGGUAAGAUCGUCAAUGCACAUGGCCAUACAAUGGCAGAAGAGCAAUGAGGACACAAGAUUGAAUUUAAAAUGGGGAACUGGCAACAAAUCGAACUACUGGCCGUGUUUUUUUAUAUAAAAAACUGGCUGUUGAGUGUUGACGGCAAACGGGAGAAGCCCAAUGUUUCGAUUGGCAGAACGGCAAAAUUCUGGCCUGCUGGCUGAUUUCGACGCACCAAAGCCAACGUUCCUUGCAGUCUUCCUUUCAUGUAGAAAUUCUACUCUACCUUUUUGAACUAAUCUCCUUGUCCUAUUUUCUUUCUUGAACUCUAAAACCAUACAUUUUAGCCUCCAAAUUAGGGAUGGUUCAUGAUUUUUUAUUCAGAUGUAAAAUUUGUGGUCUUCUUUCUUCCAUUGUGAAUAAAUAUGAUAUAAAAGUUGUCAUGCAAA